CAGUCGCCGCGGUAAAACGUAGGGUGCAAGCGUUAAUCGGAAUUACUGGGCGUAAAGCGUGCGCAGGCGGUUUGUUAAGACAGAUGUGAAAUCCCCGGGCUCAACCUGGGAACUGCAUUUGUGACUGGCAAGCUAGAGUCUGGCAGAGGGGGGUGGAAUUCCGCGUGUAGCAGUGAAAUGCGUAGAUAUGCGGAGGAACACCGAUGGCGAAGGCAGCCCCCUGGGCCAACACUGACGCUCAUGCACGAAAGCGUGGGGAGCAAACAGGAUUAGAUACCCCGGUAGUCCCUGUCUCUUAUAC
rnacentral:rRNA from 1 species